GACGAACGCUGGCGGCGUGCUUAACACAUGCAAGUCGAACGCUGAAGCUCAGCUUUUGUUGGGUGGAUGAGUGGCGAACGGGUGAGUAACACGUGAGUAACCUGCCCCCUUCUUUGGGAUAACGCCCGGAAACGGGUGCUAAUACUGGAUAUUCACUGGUCUUCGCAUGGGGGUUGGUGGAAAGGGUUUUUCUGGUGGGGGAUGGGCUCGCGGCCUAUCAGCUUGUUGGUGGGGUGAUGGCCUACCAAGGCUUUGACGGGUAGCCGGCCUGAGAGGGUGACCGGUCACAUUGGGACUGAGAUCCGGCCCAGACUCCUACGGGAGGCAGCAGUGGGGAAUAUUGCACAAUGGGCGCAAGCCUGAUGCAGCGAUGCCGCGUGAGGGAUGGAGGCCUUCGGGUUGUGAACCUCUUUCGCUCAUGGUCAAGCCGCAACAAUGGUUGUGGUGAGGGUAGUGGGUAAAGAAGCGCCGGCUAACUACGUG
rnacentral:rRNA from 1 species